rnacentral:rRNA from 1 species
GCGGUGCAUUAGCUAGUUGGUAAGGUAAAGGCUUACCAAGGCGAUGAUGCAUAGCCCGAGUUGAGAGACUGACUCGGGCCACAUUGGGGACUGAGGACACGGGGCCCAAACUCCGUACGGGGGGAGGGGCAGCAGGUAGGGGGAAUCUUCCACAAUGGACGCAAGUCUGAUGGAGCAACGCCGCGUGAGUGAAGAAGGUUUUCGGAUCGUAAAGCUCUGUUGUUGGGUGAAGAAGGAUAGAGGUAGUAACUGGCCUUUAUUUGACGGUAAUCAACCAGAAAGUCACGGCUAACUACGUGCCAGCAGCCGCGGUAAU